rnacentral:lncRNA from 1 species
CUUUGACAGAAACAGUGUUCUCAGCCACUGAAAUCAGGAGCUUCUGGGCACAUUAGUCUAGAUUUAGACCUUGAUUUAUCCCAAGGAGGAGAUGCCCAGGAAAUUCUUCCUAGACCCUCCUGAUAUUUGUGGCUUUUCAGAGCUAAGGAGAAGUGAAUGUGUCUUUAUGGGCCAAAAGUCAGUCUCUACCCUGCAAAAAUACAGGCAUUUCCUUGUGAUUCAACAUUCAGGACUGGUCAGUGUAAAGCAAAUAAAUGACACUCAUGGAUGCUGGAUCGUGUGUCACCUUGUCUGA